rnacentral:rRNA from 1 species
AGUAAGAGGAGAUCUUGAAACCUAAAGUAUUUGGCGGUUUUUUAGUCUGUUUAGAGGAACCUGUCCUUUAAUCGAUGAUCCUCGAUAAAUUUAACUUCUUUUUUAAAUAUCGCCGUCGACGACAGGUCAAGAUUUAGCAAAUAGAGAAGGGUGAAAUUGGAUUUAAGAGUAAAUGGUGGGGAUUUGAGCUCUGGGAAAUGU